rnacentral:rRNA from 1 species
UGCCAGCAGCCGCGGUAAUACGUAGGUGGCAAGCGUUAUCCGGAAUGACUGGGCGUAAAGGGUGCGUAGGUGGUUUAGUAAGUUGGCGGUGUAAUUCCGGGGCUCAACCUCGGCGCUACCGCCAAAACUAUUAGACUAGAGUGCAGGAGGGGUAAGUGGAAUUCCUAGUGUAGCGGUGGAAUGCGUAGAUAUUAGGAGGAACAUCAGGGGCGAAGGCGACUUACUGGACUGUAACUGACACUGAGGCACGAAAGCGUGGGGAGCAAACAGGAUUAGAUA